GACGAACGCUGGCGGCGUGCCUAAUACAUGCAAGUCGAACGAGAGCGACCGGUGCUUGCACUGGUCAAUCUAGUGGCGAACGGGUGAGUAACACGUGGGUAACCUGCCCAUCAGAGGGGGAUAACAUCCGGAAACGGAUGCUAAAACCGCAUAGGUCUUCGAACCGCAUGGUUUGAAGAGGAAAAGAGGCGCAAGCUUCUGCUGAUGGAUGGACCCGCGGUGCAUUAGCUAGUUGGUGAGGUAACGGCUCACCAAGGCCGUGAUGCAUAGCCGACCUGAGAGGGUGAUCGGCCACAUUGGGACUGAGACACGGCCCAAACUCCUACGGGAGGCAGCAGUAGGGAAUCUUCCGCAAUGGACGCAAGUCCGACGGAGCAACGCCGCGUGAGUGAAGAAGGUUUUCGGAUCGUAAAACUCUGUUGUUAGAGAAGAACAAGUGCUAGAGUAACUGUUAGCGCCUUGACGGUAUCUAACCAGAAAGCCACGGCUAACUACGUG
rnacentral:rRNA from 1 species